GACGAACGCUGGCGGCGUGGAUUAGGCAUGCAAGUCGAACGGUAUCAUCCUUUCGGGGGUGAGAGAGUGGCGAACUGGUGAGUAACACGUAGGUUAUCUACCCUCAAGACGGGGACAACCCAGGGAAACUUGGGCUAAUACCGGAUGUGAGCAACUUUUAGUUGUUUGAAAGGUGGCGUAAGCUGUCGCUUGGGGAUGAGCCUGCGUCCUAUUAGUUAGUUGGUGAGGUAACGGCUCACCUAGGCAAUGAUAGGUAGGCGGCCUUAACGGGUGGUCGCCCACACUGGGAUUGAGAUACGGCCCAGACUCCUACGGGAGGCAGCAGUCGAGAAUAGUCUACAAUGGUCGGAAGACUGAUAGUGCGACGCCGCGUGAACGAUGAAUCCCUUCGGGUGUAAAGUUCUUUUAUAUGUGAGCAGUGCUUCUUAUAUUAACAGUAUGGGGAGAGAGAUAUUAGCAUAUAGAAUAAGCAACGGCUAACUCCGUGCCAGCAGCCGACGGUAAAAUACCG
rnacentral:rRNA from 1 species